rnacentral:rRNA from 1 species
UAAGGAAUAUUGGGCAAUGGACGCAAGUCUGACCCAGCCAUGCCGCGUGAAGGAUGAAUGUCCUAUGGAUUGUAAACUUCUUUUAUGCAGGAAAAACAUUCGGGUCGUGAACCCGGACUGAUGGUACUGCAUGAAUAAGCAUCGGCUAACUCCGUGCCAGCAGCCGCGGUAAUACGGAGGAUGCAAGCGUUAUCCGGAUUCAUUGGGUUUAAAGGGUGCGCAGGCGGAAUGAUAAGUCAGUGGUGAAAUCUCUCAGCUUAACUGAGAAACUGCCAUUGAUACUGUCGUUCUUGAGUACAGUUGAAGUGGGCGGAAUGUGUCAUGUAGCGGUGAAAUGCUUAGAUAUGACACAGAACACCGAUAGUGAAGACAGCUCACUAAGCUGUAACUGACGCUCAUGCACGAAAGCGUGGGGAUCAAACAG